GAUGAAGAACGUAGCGAAAUGCGAUAAGUAAUGUGAAUUGCAGAAUUCAGUGAAUCAUCGAAUCUUUGAACGCACAUUGCGCCCUCUGGUAUUCCGGGGGGCAUGCCUGUUCGAGCGUCAUUAUAACCACUCAAGCUCUCGCUUGGUAUUGGGGUUCGCGGUUUCGCGGCCCCUAAAAUCAGUGGCGGUGCCUGUCGGCUCUACGCGUAGUAAUACUUCUCGCGAUUGAGUUCGAUAGGUCUACUUGCCAGUAACCCCCAAUUUUUACAGGUUGACCUCGGAUCCGGUAGGGAUACCCGCUGAACUUAAGCAUAUCAAUAAGCGGAGGA
rnacentral:misc_RNA from 1 species